rnacentral:rRNA from 1 species
AUUCCAGCUCCAAUAGCGUAUAUUAAAGUUGUUGCAGUUAAAAAGCUCGUAGUUGGACUUCUGGCAUGCUGCGCCUGGCCCGCCCGCGUUAGCGGUGUGAGUGCCGGUUUGCGCGGUUGCCAUCCUUCAGAAAAUCCGGCCUGCCUUUUGUUAGGUUGGGUCGGCGAUUCUGAUCGUUUACUUUGAAAAAAUUAGAGUGUUUAAAGCAGGCAAUUGCUGUGAAUACAUAGCAUGGAAUAAUAAUAUAGGACUUUGGUUCUAUUUUGUUGGUUUCUAGGACUAAAGUAAUGAUUGAUAGGGAUAGUUGGGGGUGCUAGUAUUGAGUGGCCUGAGGUGAAAUUUUCGGACUCACUCAAGACUAACUUAUGCGAAAGCAUUCACCAAGGAUGUCUUCAUCA